rfam:Danio rerio chromosome 25, GRCz11 reference primary assembly.
UUUAUUCAAACUUGUAAGUCUCUUUGGAUAAAAGUGUCUGCUAAAUGGAAAAAC